rnacentral:rRNA from 1 species
CUAAGAAUCUUCCGCAAUGGACGAAAGUCUGACGGAGCGACGUCGCGUGGGUGAUGAAGGCGGAAACGUUGUAAAGCCCUUUUAUAGACGAGGAAUAAGCCUGGGAGGGAAUGCCCGGGUGAUGACGGUAGUCUGUGAAUAAGCCCCGGCUAAUUACGUGCCAGCAGCCGCGGUAACACGUAUGGGGCGAGCGUUGUUCGGAAUUAUUGGGCGUAAAGGGUAUGCAGGCGGUUUGUCAAGUCUGGUGUGUAAGACCUCAGCUUAACUGGGGGAACGCGCUGGAAACUGGCAGACUAGAGUACAGGAAGGGGAGUUGGAAUUCCAGGUGUAGGGGUGAAAUCUGUAGAUAUCUGGAAGAACAUCAGUGGCGAAGGCGAACUCCUGGCCAUGUACUGACGCUGAGAUACGAAAGCGUGGGGAGCAAACAGG